rnacentral:rRNA from 1 species
GACGUAGGGCGCGAGCGUUGUCCGGAUUUAUUGGGCGUAAAGAGCUCGUAGGCGGCUCGUUGCGUCGGCUGUGAAAACCCGCGGCUCAACCGUGGGCUUGCAGCUGAUACGGGCGGGCUGGAGUUCGGUAGGGGAGACUGGAAUUCCUGGUGUAGCGGUGAAAUGCGCAGAUAUCAGGAGGAACACCGGUGGCGAAGGCGGGUCUCUGGGCCACUACUGACGCUGAGGAGCGAAAGCGUGGGGAGCGAACAGG